GAGACCUGGCGGCAUGCUAACCAUGCAGUCGAACGGGAUCGGACUUCGGUUCGGUGAGAGUGGCGGACGGGUAGUACCGUGGGAACCUGCCCAGUGGUGGGGGAUAACUGCGGGAAACUGCAGCUAAUACCGCAUGAGCCCGAGAGGGGAAAGAUUUAUCGCCAUUGGAGGGGCCCGCGUUCGAUUAGGUAGUUCGUGGGGUAAUGGCCUACCAAGCCGACGAUCGAUAGCUGGUCUGAGAGGAUGAUCAGCCACACUGGGACUGAGAUACGGCCCAGACUCCUACGGGAGGCAGCAGUGGGGAAUAUUGGACAAUGGGGGCAACCCUGAUCCAGCAAUGCCGCGUGAGUGAUGAAGGCCUUCGGGUUGUAAAGCUCUUUUGCCAGGGACGAUGAUCACGGUACCUGGAGAAUAAGCCCCGGCUAACUUCGUGCCAGCAGCCGCGGUAAUACGAAGGGGGCAAGCGUUGUUCGGAAUUACUGGGCGUAAAGGGCGCGUAGGCGGCCGAUCAAGUCAGGCGUGAAAUUCCCGGGCUCAACCUGGGGGCUGCGCUUGAUACUGGUUGGCUUGAAUGCGGGAGAGGAUAGUGGAAUUCCCAGUGUAGAGGUGAAAUUCGUA
rnacentral:rRNA from 1 species